rnacentral:rRNA from 1 species
CCCUUAGAUGUUCUGGGCCGCACGCGCGCUACACUGAUGCAUUCAACGAGUAAUCUUUGACCUUGGUCGACAGAUCUGGGUAAUCUUUUGAAAUUGCAUCGUGAUGGGGCUUGCGGGUUGCAAUUACCCGCACCAACGAGGAAUUCCUAGUAAACGCAAGUCAUCAACUUGCAUUGAUUACGUCCCUGCCCUUUGUACACACCGCCCGUCGCUCCUACCGAUUGAGCGGUCCGGUGAAGACUCAGGAGAUGGGCGCGUGCUUGGUUCGCCAACUGCACUGCCUGCCAAAUUUGUCUAAACCUUAUCGCUUAGAGGAAGGAGAAGUCGUAACA